rnacentral:rRNA from 1 species
GAUGAACGCUGGCGGCGUGCCUAAUACAUGCAAGUCGAGCGAACGGACGAGGAGCUUGCUUCUCUGAUGUUAGCGGCGGACGUGUGAGUAACACGUGUAUAACCUACCUAUCAUACUGGGAUAAUUUCGGGAAACCGGAUCUAAUACCGGAUGAUAUUUUGAACCGCAUUGUUCAAAAGUGAAAGACGGUCUUGCUGUCACUUCUAGAUGGAUCCGCGCUGCAUUAGCUAGUUGGUAAGGUAACGGCUUACCAAGGCAACGAUGCAUAGCCGACCUGAGAGGGUGAUCGGCCACCCUGGAACUGAGACACGGUCCAGACUCCUACGGGAGGCAGCAGUAGGGAACCUUACGCAAUGGGCGGAAGCCUGACGGAGCAACGCCGCGUGAGUGAUGAAGGUCUUCGGAUCGUAAAACUCUGUUAUUAGGGAAGAACAUAUGUGUAAGUAAAUGUGCAGAUCUUGACGGUACCGAAUCAGAAAGCCACGGCUAACUACGUG